UUUUUAGUCAGUGGUAGAGUAAUCCCAUGGUAACGCGCAAGCCCUCGGUUCAAACCCGACAAGGGGCU
rnacentral:tRNA from 1 species